rnacentral:rRNA from 1 species
UAACAUAAGUAACCUGCCCUAGACAGGGGGAGUAACUAUUGGAAACGAUAGCUAAGACCGCAUAGGUACGGACACUGCAUGGUGACCGUAUUAAAAGUGCCUCGAAGCACUGGUAGAGGAUGGACUUAUGGCGCAUUAGCUGGUUGGCGGGGUAACGGCCCACCAAGGCGACGAUGCGUAGCCGACCUGAGAGGGUGACCGGCCACACUGGGACUGAGACACGGCCCAG